rnacentral:rRNA from 1 species
AUACGAAGGUCCCAAGCGUUAUUCGGAAUCACUGGGCGUAAAGAGUACGUAGGCGGUUUGGUAAGUCAGGUGUGAAAUCCCGAAGCUCAACUUCGGAACUGCAUCCGAUACUGCCAGACUAGAGUAAUGGAGAGGCAGGUGGAAUUCUCGGUGUAGCAGUGAAAUGCGUGGAUAUCGAGAGGAAGACCAAUGGCGAAGGCAGCCUGCUGGACAUUUACUGACGCUGAGGUACGAAGGCUAGGGGAGCGAAAGGGAUUAGAAACCCCGGUAGUCC